GUAGGUGGCAAGCGUUGUCCGGGAAUUAUUGGGGCGUAAAGCGCGCGCAGGCGGUUCUUUAAGUCUGAUGUGAAAGCCCACGGGCUCAACCGUGGGAGGGUCAUUGGAAACUGGAGAACUUGAGUACAGAAGAGGAAAGCGGAAUUCCACGUGUAGCAGUGAAAUGCGUAGAGAUGUGGAGGAACACCAGUGGCGAAGGCGGCUUUCUGGUCUGUAACUGACGCUGAGGCGCGAAAGCGUGGGGAGCAAACAGGAUUAGAUACCCUGGUAGUCCACGCCGUAAACGAUGAGUGCUAAGUGUUAGGGGGUUUCCGCCCCUUAGUGCUGCAGCUAACGCAUUAAGCACUCCGCCUGGGGAGUACGGCCGCAAAGGCUGA
rnacentral:rRNA from 1 species